rnacentral:rRNA from 1 species
AUGGACUUCUACUCCGACGACGACUCGGACCCCGAUUUCGACGAGGGCCUCCAGGAGGACCUCGACCUGGUCCGCCGCUCCUGCAUCACCGCCGGCGCCGACCCGGAUGCCGCCGUCGCGCAGACCUCCUCCUACCUCGUCGUCCCCGCCGCGACGACGACUACAGCGGCGGCGGCGGCAGCAGAUGGGUCGUCGGACGAGGGGGACGAGGACCUCGCCCUCGUUCGCAGCAUCCGCGAGAACCUCCACCUGAACAAGGCCUCGCCCUCCUCGCCGCGCCCGAUCUGCGCCUGGCCGCCUUCCGACGCGGAGGAUGACGACCUCGAGACGCUCCGCGCGAUACAGCGCCGCUUCUCGCACUACCACUCCGGUACCUCCACUGGUCCACUGGAGAACAUGAAAAACGAGGCAUCAAAAGGAGGGGAUGAUGAAUUUAUUGCACAUCGACCUGGUGAAGAGGAUGUACAGAAGAAAGAUACGAAUGCAAACACUCAAACUGGGUUCCCAAAAGCUGCACUGUUGUUAGUGGAUGCUCUCAAGAAGAACAGAGCAUGCCAGAAGUUUAUUAGAAGGAAGAUGAUUAACAUUGAAGCAAAGAUUGAAGUAAAUAAGGAUCUUAGGGAUCGUGUCAAAUGUCUUAUGGAUUAUCAGUUAAGCUGCAGAAGAUCAUUUGGCAAAGUUUUGUGCCAGAAGGUGGAUCCUCGUGUUAGAUUGAUUUCCUCUCAAAAACAAAGUGCACAAUCCGCAAAGAAUAAAUAUAAGAUAUCUGCAUUACUUCUCGGCCCAGCUGAGAACCCUCAUGUUGAAAAGUAUAAAGCAGUUCUGAAGCAAUUCCCAGUGUCGCUUCAGAAGCAUCCAUGGUCAGAUGUAGAGAAAGACAGGCUUGCUAAAGGAAUAAAGCAGCAAUAUCAGGAAACGUUAAUUAAGGACUCGUUGAAGAAUGGAAGUGGUGACUUCAGUGCUGUCGAUAUGGCUUAUGCACUGACGAACACUGUGGGUAAUUUUGAGGCGACUCCUGAGAUUCUCCGGUCAGUCUUGCCAUUAGUAAACUGGGACUAUAUUGCUGCUAUGUACCUUCCUGGUCGAUCCGGUGCUGAAUGCGAAUCGAGGUGGCUAAACCAUGACGACCCACGGAUUAAUCACAACGCCUGGACUGCGUGUGAGGAGAAAAGACUUAUACUAACUGUCCAAGAAAAAGGAAUGCAUAACUGGAUUAAUAUUGCGGUUGCAUUGGGUACGCAGAGAACACCUUUCCAGUGCCUUGCCCGUUAUCAACGAAGUCUCAAUCCCCACAUAUUGAAGAGGGCCUGGACAAAAGAGGAAGAUCUUCAACUUGUAGCUGCCGUCCAAACUUUUGGUUGUAACUGGCAACUUGUAUCAGCUAGUCUGGUUGGUCGCAUUGGCAACCAGUGCUCUAACAGGUGGAGGAAAACACUAAUCCCUGAAAGGAAAAGGGUGGGGAGAUGGUCUGAGGAUGAGGACAAGCGCCUCCUGGUAUCUGUCAAGUUUUUUAGGUCUGGCAGCUGGAAUAAGAUUGCUCAGUUUGUUCCUGGCCGCACACAAAGUCAAUGCAGCGAGAGGUGGCGUAAUGUUCUUGAUCCGGAUAUAGAUCAUGGGGAAUGGCGCCCUGAAGAGGAUUCCAAGUUAUUGGCUUCCGUCCAUGAGGUUGGUCCGUGCUGGUCCAAGAUUGCUGGGGCUAUGAUUCCUCACCGUACUGAUAAUAUGUGCCUGAGGCGAUGGAAAAGACUCUGUCAAGAUGAAUUACCUUUAAUUGUAGCAGCCAAUCAAGUAAAGAAAUCUAUUUUUCAGAACAACUUUGUUGAUAGAGAAACAGAGCGACCUGCAAUUUGCCCGAGUGACUUCCCAUCACUUGUGUAUUCGAAAGUUGACAGGGGUGAUGAGAGCACUGUGAGUGAUCAAGUCAAGAAACCUCAAAAACGGUCGAGAAAAUCACGUGUGGAUAACGUGCCACCUAAUGACCCCUCGAAGUCUUCUGCUGCUGCUGCUGCUGUAAACAUCACCAAGAGAAAAUCAAGGAAAAAAUUAUCUGGAAGUGGAGCUGAAAACCAAACUGGGGAGGAUGUAACUGUGUCUGAUGGUGUCAACAAUUCCUCUAGGGGCCACAGCAAAGCUAGGAAGAGGAAAGUUACCACUGAUGGCGAUGUGGUUGUGCAAAAGAGAAUGAGGGGAUCAAUCUCUGUUGAUAACGAGCUCACCCUAGAUAUGUUUGGGGGCCCUAUCAGUUUCAAUAAUGAGGCACUUACUAAUCAAAAGAGGGACCCUACAUCUGUUGGUAAAGAAGGCACAGCUAAGAAGAGAACAAGGGGCACUGUGUCUGUCGGCAACGAGGGAGCUGUCAAAAAGAAAAUGAGGGGUUCUAUCUCUGUUGGUGAGGGGAGAGCAGUCAAAAACAGGAUGAGGGGUUCAGUCUCUAUUGACAACCAAGGCAACACAACGAAAAGGAAGAGAGUAUCAAGGAAAUCAGCCAAAGGCAAUUCAACAACAGAUGGUGGGGUGAACGCUUGUGAGUUGGACCUUCCAAGUAUGCCCUCUGAAACUUCUGCAGAAAGACACAUUGAUACUGGAAACACGAACAAGAUGAAUCGGAAGUCUACUCCAAGACCCAAGCAAAUAAACAUGGCAGAAGGGACCGUCGAUGAAUAUUCACGUCUUGCUGAUUGCAUCUCCUUUGCCCGUGGAAAUGGAGCCAGCAAGAACAAUAGUGCCAUGCCGUUAAAUAAUGCCAUACAGUCAGACGGGCCCUCAGGUGAAAACCUACAGGUGGCCAUUUCUGCUCGACUGGAUCCCACUUCUGUUGAGCAGCUCACCGAAGACUCAAGUUGUCAAUUAGAUGACAACCAUUGA